CAAUUUGGUUCUAACCAGCUAACUAUAAUAUUGCCAACAUGCCCGAUUUUAAAUCAACAAAUUUAGACUGUAAUGGCAUAUUUAUAAUUAAAUCUAUUAUAAGUGGUGUCAUUGAGAUUCAAGCGUCAUUUUCUAUCUCUACACUAAUUUCUGUUAUAACGAACAACAUGAGUUGUUUUUAAGAGGGAAGAAGCCAGAAGAAAGGGAAGAACAACUGUUGUUAUAAAGGAAAUGGGAAAGAUAUAGGUAAUCUGCCUUGAUUCAUUGGGUAUAUCAACAGUUGCUGGCAGAGGACGGUCGAUUCAGAAAAUGGCCGUUAAGGCUGAAGAAAUUGAUUUGUUAGACUCUGGAAACCAAUACAUGAUGCAGAUGAGGGGAAAGAAAACUUUGCUGCUAAGGUAUUUGAUGUAAUGCCUGAGAGAAAUUAGGUAUCGGACACCUUUAUGGUUUGUUUCUUAACAUGCUGUGGAGCCUAUCAAGCUUUUGGUGUAAAUGAUUCUUGAGGGAUUGAACCGACUGAGUCGUCUUAAUCAACUACCAUGAGAACUGCCUUCUAGCUUGUCAUCUACCUGGAAGUCAGAUUCAUGGCAGGUAAGUUAAAUUGUAUUUGAGCAACUUCAGUUAGUAGGAAAUAUGAUUACAUGAAGCUUUUCAGUGAUGACUGCUAGGUUUUCUGAUGUAAGAGAUGACCAAAUAGUUUAUGCAGAAGAAGAGCUUUCUAGGAACAAAUCGGAUGAACUCACAAUGUAAUACCAAAAAAGAUCAAUCCAUACAAAAGACAUCAAAAUUUAUGUUUUUUGAUCAAAUGAAUAGCUUACAUGCACAAGAAAGAAGAGAGAAAAUCGUCAGGCACCAGAUAAUUUGAUGUUAUGCGAUGCUUUUAAUGCAAUUCAUGAACAAACUCGGGUCCGUUCUCAUGCUGUUAUGUGGUUAUAUUUUACCCUCUCUCUCAUUUGACCUACAAUAACGGAAUAGAAGUUACCACAUGAUGCACCAUGAGUAUGCGGACAUAAGAGUUGAUGAAACCCUGCAAAGGGGUUGAGGUUCAGCUUGAGCACAAACAGCCCUCGCAAUUGGGAAACCAGUUCAAGCACCUAAGGCCCAUAAGGCCUUGAAACUCCAAAAGAUUUGGGAUGUGGAAAGUUGAGACCUCUAGACUAAUUAUGUGUAGUGUAAAAGUUAUUCUUAUAAAUUCUCUUAUAACUAUUUGUAGUAUGAAAUCUUUGAACUAGAAAGAAUCCUAUAUUGAUGCGGUGCAUCAGGAUAGCUUCAGUACUUAUCCUAUUUUCAUGCUUUCGUAUUUCUUAUUUUCACAGUUAUGCAAGCACUAGUGCUACCACCUUUUUGCUUGAUUAACUUUAUAUAGUUAAAGAAAGUCUAUAUCAUAUAUAUAUGAAAUGUAAUAGAAAGAAAGGAGAUAUGCUUAUACUUUUUACAGUUUGAGAAGAAACCUUAUUCUCUCUUUUAUCUUGGUUACUGUUCUAUAGCCUCUCCGGUAAGACUACUACGUCAGAGUGGUAUCAAAUCCUAGGGCUCUAGUGCAUGGUGGAUUGCAACAACCGGAUAGGGGGCAACGAUGAUCGCACCCUAGACUCCUUGUGGGAAGCAAAAACCAGAUUAGCACGACAGUUGAAUGAUAUUUUCGCGGAGCAUUUCAGGCUAUCUACUGCAAUGCACAUGGAACUACAGGCAAUCAAGUAUGUGCUCCCUAUAUUGAUUCGGUGGAUGAUACAGAAGCUUAUUUAGGCCCGACUUUGAUUGAUUCGACAUGAUUGGGUGAGACACCUUAGAAUGGGAAUGGCUAACCAUCACCACCAGGUGUUUCGAGCGAAGCUCGAUAUUCCGUUUUUUUAUAGGAAAUUGCAUAUAUAAGAUUAUUUGGAUUAGGAAUGAUCGGUAGACACUUUUUUCUAAUUCAUGGAGAUUCCCCUAGAUAAGCAAGUGAGAUAUGUAGCUUGCAAACUACGAGGAGGCGCAAGCACGUGGUGGUAGCAACUUUUACAGCCAAGGCGGAGGGAAGGAAAAGGAAUGGUGUGGAACUGGCAUAGAAUGAAAUAGCUGCUAAGGGCGUAUUUCUUGCCGACCGAUUUUGAAGAAAUUUUAUACCACAAAUAUCAGCAUUAUGUGCGGGCAAUCAGUCUGUAAAUGAGUAAAGCGAAGAAUUUUUAUAGAUUAAGAACAAGAGAUGACCUAAAUUAGAAUACUAAUUAGCUUGUAGCAAGGUACAUUGGGGAACUUAGAGAUGUGAUUCAGGUAAAUUGGAACUGAAUUCUAUAUGGUCUUUGUCUCAAGCUAUGAAUUAUGAUUUGAAAGCGGAACUACAAUAGAAUCGUCACUCCAAAGGCCAAUAUCAAUGAUGUCAGUCGGUAGACCACCCGAUGGAACAAAGCAGAUUCCCAAUUCGGGUAAGCUUCCAACUACCUCAAAUCAAUAACAUAGGAUGUCUGGUACAGCUCCGACUCCUACAACUGCAGAUCAUAAAUCACAACUGAAAUUGAGACAGUGCACUAAAAUAUUUUCUUUAUUUUCAACCUGCAGGACACCCAAUGAAACUCAUCCAUAGUUUUUACAACAAAAGGAGUCAACUUCUAAAUCGCAAUACAAUUUGCAGCAUACUAUAAUAUGUUUAUUUAACAAUGGUCUUAAUUUCUUGUUGCUCUUCCAGAUGUGUCAACCUUACUAGAAACAAGAUGAGAGGUUUUCAAGCACUGGGGAAAGAACAUCUGAUCUCGGACUUUGAACCAAAAGUUGAACGUUAGAAUUCUUGCUUUCUUCUCUGAAUGAAAACCUAUUUAUCAAAAAAGAUUGGCUUGGUACUUUGCAAAUUAAUUUUAUCAAUAAUUUGAUUUCUCUUUCCCACUCAUCAAACUUGAGUAAAUCUUGAAGUCUACUAUGAGAUUUAACUAAUUUUUCAUCAAAUGAUUUUAAAUAAUUUUGAAUUCAACAAGGACAACUUUAGAAAUUAUGGAAGUGGAUGUCUUAUUAUUCUUACAUCUCCUUGGACAGCAUUUGUCAUGAUUCAGCUCAAUGAAACGUAGCAUCUUGCUUUCUUUUGUUGUAACUUGGAAAAGAUUCUUCAUGCUUUUGCAUGUUUGUUCAUUCACUGUUUUUUUUUUUUUUAAUGUUUGUUCAUUCACUGUUCUCUUAGAAAAAAGCUAAUUUUUCUUGAGAUCUGAUUUGACUUCUACUUUGCGGGAACUUGGAGAUCAGUGGCAUUUCCAUGAUUCUCCAUUAGGAAUGUUAAGUUUCUAAGUAAAAAAAUUUGUGGCCAAGUAGUGAGAGAAGAUGGUUAUUUUUUUAAUGGUCUUGGAGCUGUACUUAACAGUUUAUUGCUCACCAUUUUCAAAAAACAAAAAGAUUCUAACAAAAAAAUUUUAUGCAAGCACUGGGAGAUUGAUGUUAUACUCAAAUAUAUACUUCACAGCUACAAUUCCAUCGUUAUGGAAACUCCUAAGGUACAACUCCAUUUCUUUUUACCUUAUAAGGGUCUCACGUCCUUCUUAGACUCCGAUUUAGUAUGUAAUAGAGCUUAUCAUAACCCUGUGAUAUAAAUGACUUCUUACCCAAUAAAUCUAUAGAUUUUUAUUUCCAUACAGUUUUCAUAUUGAUUAUUGCACCACUCAUUUCCUCUCUUUCCCUUCCAACAGGUAAUGAUUCUAUUACGCUGGCCGAAGAGGGGCCGGCUGCUUUGCCUAAACCGGUCCCUAGUGGACUGGUUUGGGUUUACCACCGCGGGCCCAAGCAAGGAGAGAGAGGGGGGCCGGCCAGUCCUUUGGGCCCCACACCUUGAUUAAUGCUUGUUUGGAGGGAAAAUUUUGAAUUAGGGGAUGUUUAGGGAAUUUGUAAUUCUCCUUUGUCUUUAAUUAAUGGUUAAUGUUAGAAUUAGAGUUUCAUCUUGAAUUUGAAAGGGAUUUGAGAUCUACGGUUUGUGUUCUUUGGCUCUAGGCUUGGCUAGAGAAUCGGAGAGUUGUUUUUUCCUCUCGAAUUGAAGAAACAUGUAUCUUUUGUUGUUUUCCUGCAUCUACUAGUGGAAUCCUUCAU